UACCAGCACCCCCGAGUGGUCGGGACGUUUAUUGGGCCUAAAGCAUCCGUAGCCGGUUCUACAAGUCUUCCGUUAAAUCCAGCUGCUUAACAGAUGGGCUGCGGAAGAUACUAUGGAGCUAGGAGGCGGGAGAGGCAAGCGGUACUCGAUGGGUAGGGGUAAAAUCCGUUGAUCCAUUGAAGACCACCAGUGGCGAAGGCGGCUUGCCAGAACGCGCUCGACGGUGAGGGAUGAAAGCUGGGGAGCAAACCGG
rnacentral:rRNA from 1 species